rnacentral:tRNA from 1 species
GGGGGUUUAGUUUUAAUGGCUAGAACGUCGGCCUUCAGAUCCGAAAGUGUGGGUUCGAGUCCUACAACCCCCG